ensembl:miRNA
UACUUGUUAGAAGGUUACUUGUUAGUUCAGGAUCUCAUUAUCUUUUGCCUGAACUAUAGGAGUAGCCUCUUAACUGGUCUC